AUCAGACUAUCCUUAGUUUUCAGUUUUUACCAGAGUUUUCUCAGGUAAAAAGUUUUAUGCAACAGGCCCCAGAUGGGCUAAUGGGAUUUCUAGAUUUUCCCUUCAUGAAAAAGAAAUUGCUACACACCCAUUGAACACAGGAAUGCAUGCAAAGUGGUAAAGGAACAUUCCGAUCAAGGAAAGGCUUGAAGGGGCAAGCCAUUGCAUAUCAAGAUAGUUCGGCCCUUCACUUCUUCACCCGAUGAGAAAGUCCUGACACCACAGUGCGUUGCUAUAAUUUGCACAGUAUCUGAACGAUGGGCUAUGUCAACCAGAUUUUGAACACUUGCGGAAUCAUGGGCCGAACUGUGAUCAUCGCAAUUCAGCAAAGUUAUAUAAGGAUUGUUCAGGCAUUUAAGAACAAGGGAUCUGCGUAAACAUUGUGUGUAAACUAACACAAAAUGACAUUUUGAACGCUGCCUUGAAUACUGGGAUUGUGCCGUUUCAACCUCAUAAGAGAAGCAUAUAUGACAUCAAUUAAAGUUUGGUAGAAUUCAUAUCAAAUUGAAUUCAUGGCCAUAUCAAACACCUUCCCAUGGGUACUCAUUAUAAACAUAGACAGAUAGAUAGAUUAUGCCCCUUACUAAGUAUGUAAUCAGAAGAAUAAAUGGGAUAAACCUAUUUUCUCUGGUUUGGCUGUAACUACGUGGACGGUUCUGGCAAAGACAACCAUUUGAUGUGCAAAGAUUCCUGACAUGCCUGCAUUAUACACAACAUACACAGGUUUUCAUUUACAAUGAAGAAUUCAAUAAUACACUACAGAUCCAAGGCAAA